CCAAUGAACGGUGUACUUAAAAGGAGAAGGAGAUUUGGACACAGAGACAACAGGAGACACAGAGGGAAAGAGGCCAUGUAAAGGCGGAGGCAGAGACUGGAGUUUAUGCUGCCACAAGGUGCAGGGGGCUGCCUAUUCAUUCAACAUAAAGAUGAAUUAGGUAUGUAUGGUUCCUGCCCUUAAGAAGCCCAUGAUUAGAAGUGAGAGCGCUUUAGACAUGAAGAUCACGAAAAAUACAGCCUGAUGAAUGUAAUAAUGGCUACUGGAAUAAACUGUUAGGAGGAGCAGAGAGGAAAACAACUGGGAUUUAGGUUUGUGGUGUGCAAGCAAGGGAAGAGGACGACACAGUGAAAUUGCUCCCUUGGAUGAUAAAAAGGCAGAUUUCCAAUAAACAUGAAAGAUAAUUCAA